rnacentral:rRNA from 1 species
AUGUUGAUUGUACCGAACGAAGGAUUUGCCUUAUCACGAAAGCCACAUUCGUUUCGUUUGAGGAAGUCACACGUCCUGUUCCCUAUAAAUAAGGAGAUUCAUUCUUUUUUUUCAGAAAUCCCCUCUUCUUCCUCCUCAAGCCCCUAUCACAAGACCAAGCGGAUCUCAUCCUGCAGAAGACUCAGAGCGGAUCUAUCUAAUGGCAUGGCUGGCUGUCGGAUGUGA